CUCUCUCUGACACUCUCUCUCUCUCUCUCUCUCUCUCUCUCACUUCCCAGAGUAAAGAGUGUGAGACAUCACAGCGAGAAUGCAAUUCCAAAUCUGUAACGUGUAAUUUUACGCUAUCAGAAGGAGGGACACGUUCAAUCUCAGUCUUUAAUUAGAUCUCUGGCAACGAAGGGACAGGAGCCUGUGGUUUCCUACUCUGAACGCUGUUCGAGCCAGGAGGCCCCACUCCACCCUUCACCACCCUGUCGGUCACCCACCCAGCCAAUCACAUCACUCCUUUAGAGUUGCACCGACCAGAGAAACACAACGCCAUGAACUAGGCCUACUGGAGUGAAAUGAUCGAAUGCUUUAAUCAGAUUGCUGAAGACUCAAAGUGCCGUGUGGUGGUGUUCUCGGGUGCAGGGAAAAUCUUC